rnacentral:lncRNA from 1 species
AUUGCUUUCCUGUGGAAGUACUACCUGCCAGGGUCAUUUUUGUGUUAUUUCUCAGCUCGGAGGCUCCUGUACAGUAUAAUGCAGGGCAGUUGAGGCAUAAGACUACUGCAUCAAAGAAGAUGAAGUCUGAAGACUGCAGUUUCUCCACACCCUACAUGUCAAAGUGCCUUGUACCACUUGACAUAUCAAGUCUGCAGCCCGGGUCCGACAGAGCAUGGCUUCUUUGUCACAGCAGCUUUUCCAUAUCUUAGAAGGCCUGGAGGAGCAGAGUGGUGACCACCUUCUUGAUGUCUGAAAUCUCUCACCUCCACUCACCACCAGGCUGGUUCUCAAGCCACACAUGAGGAUAACAUUCAUUCUUGCCUUAGUUCUGUCUUUAGAGGGGAUUCUUGUGCCCACCUUG